AAACCAGCUGCCCUUUCCCUGGAACAAAGCCGUAAAGUUUACGGAUUCGGUUUUGAUCAGAGAUACCGAAAUGUCAGAGUCAAUAGUGCACAACUGUAUUGCAACAGCGUCGUUGGGCUUUUAUUUACAACUCAGACAAGGUUUCCAGUGAAUACCACUUGCAUUUCUGUACAAAAUGAGGCUCCUGUUUGCCUUCAAAGCAGUUUCAAGACAAAUGAUGGACUGUGCCAGUCUUUAAGCUACUGUCAGAUAACUGUAAACACUGAGGGACAUAAGGGACGUGUUUCUAAUAUACUGUAUGCCAAUUUGACUUUCUUCAUCUCCCAAGGACAGACAACCACCUGCUGAAAAAAUCCUAUCUUAUGCACAUGUUUAUGGACACCUGGACUCGGGAGACAAGCCUGAUUGAUGGCUGAGAGCUCUGAGGAAAAAGCUGCCCUACCCACAGACACGCCUCUGGAUCCAUUUAUCACAAUCACUCACAGAAAGAUGGAGGCAUCGGCAAAAAAAAAAAAAGUGAGAUGGUGCUCUACGGACAAAGCUGCGACCGGUCAGCAGGCGUGCAUCACGGAGGGAGACUGGGAGAUAAUUGGACAGUUGGUGGGAGAGAACACUCCACCGGAGAGACAGUUUGGACAGGGAACACGGAUGGACAGAUGGAUGGAGAGGAAAAAUAGCAGAAGAAGAGUAUCAGAAGUGCAGGAAGACUGCCCCGUCACUCCUAGGAGUCUCUGUUAUUUCAGAACUGCUGUAACACUCGUGGAUCUGAGACCAGGGUUUUAUUUAGCACAAGAUCAGUGAUGGACGGACAGACUCCAGCGAGACAGAUGGGCAGAUGUGGCUUCACAGCACUCAACGACUGCAAACAACAAAUUGUCCUUACCCUCUCCAAGCUCAGCUGGAGGGACGUUGCUGAUACCCAUGAUGCUUUAGGUUACUACUGAGUGACAGAUGCUGUAACACGGGCAGAGGUUCAGUGAACUGGAUUAGCAUUUGAAGCUUCCCUCUCUGUUUUAAUUAACAGAAACCUCUGAUAAUAUGUCAAAACCCUCAGCAAUGACCGCAAGCUCACGAAAAGAUUAAAUCAGCCGUAAUGUUACUCUGACUAUAGGAUAAACGUACACACAUGAAAACAAAUUCUGUUUACUGAGUGACUGUCUGAUGUCAGAAUUGCAGGAUCCUUUGGCUCUGCUUGUGCUGUUUUACUGUGCCGCAUCUGAAAUCAAGCACAUCGAAGGGUCAAAAUGUGCAGCAGAACCAAGCACGCGAUCUGACAGCCGUGAGAAACAUACUAAACGCUCUCACAGACAGACAGACCCUUCCUCACCUCCUCAAAACCCUCU
ensembl:lncRNA